rnacentral:lncRNA from 1 species
GCUUUUCGUCCACGGCGGGCACACGGCCAAGAUCUCGGAGCUGUCGUGGAACCCCAGCGAGAAGUGGGUGGUGGCCAGCGUGGCGGAGGACAACGUGCUGCAGAUCUGGGAGAUGGCCGAGAGCAUAUACAGCGACGACAACAGCAACAACGCCAACAGCGCCUCGUGCCUGUCCACAUAAGAAGACGCCGCCAACCAACUUCUUCCCUGAUGUGUGGACGAUGGCCGAUGGGGACAUGGCUCGUUCGUAGUCUUUGGGUGGACGCGUCGCGUGCGGUUUACUUGUAGUGCCUCGUGCGGUUUCGUCGCUUAAUUAGCAGCUGCUGCUAUCGUUUGGCGCCUAGAUCCUGUAGACAUGGAUGGAUGGAGAAGUGACUCUGGAAUAUUUGUGCGUCCAUGCCGAAGCCUGUUGUUGUUACCUGGUGCGUGCGUGUGUGUGUGCGCCUGUUGUCAGGCAGAGGUUUUCGGG